AUUAAUUAGUUAAUAGCAAAUGCAGGAUUGUUUCUGCGGUGGAAAUUCUGAAGUCAAUGUUGCCACUCCAUAGCAUUAUUGCAUCUGCUUGAUUGAAGUCCAAUAUUGCUUUUCAUACUUCCUGCUGGAGCUUGCUUUCUCAAGACAAGAAUGUUGGGAUUGCAGUUAAUGAAGAUGAGUUUAGAGAAAAAGAAUGACCACCUAACCUAACAAAAUAUAAGAAAACAUUCGUCGAGAACUUGCAAAGUUGAGAAGAUUGAGAUUCUUAUGGCUAAGAAAUGACUCAUUUGAUGGAGAAAUUCUUGUCAAUCUGUCUUCUUCUUCUAAUCUCAUCGAGAUUUGCCUUUCAUGGAAUAAUCUUUAUGGGAAUAUUUUUCAAUAGAACUUGGAUCUUUGCCAAAGCUUCGGCUGAUUCAAGCUCCAAGAAAUAGUACUGUAGGUGAAAUCCCGAGUAUUUUUGGGUUUCAUCCCUGGAGAUUUUCAAGCUUUCCUCCAACAGGCUUAUUGGGAGGAUUACAAAUGAAUUUGGACAACUGAAUACAUUGGAUUAAGUGAAAACAUAUUGUCUGGUUCUCUCCCUCCCAUAAUUUCAAUCUCACUUCUAUUACAACUAUUUUUGUGCCAAUGAACCAAAUGCAAGAUACACUUCCAUCUUACACAGGCAACAGAGUUGGUGGAGGCGGUGUUGAUGGUUUCGACUCCAAUCAUUAGAGUCUUUGUUGUGUCCAAAUUGAAUGUUCCUGGUGCAUGACAGAUGCCUCAGGUUUCGUCAAGUUGGGUAGACCAAUGUUAUUUCGGGAUGAACUGAGUUUAAAUUUGAUCUCAAGGAAAAAACUAAAGUUAACAUAUCCUACUUUCAGUUUCAACCCAAUUUUAUGGAGAAUUAUAGGUUUGAAGGGCGUCAAAGGUUAGAAAUCAGUACCAAAAACUGUUGAAUAUUCAUCUUUGUUCAAUGAUUGAUGUUCAGAACAUUUAAUUGACCAUGUGUUUCAUUUGUUUAAAGUAAUUUCCUUAUUCAUCAAUGUUAUGCUGUUGCUUUCAAAUUUCUCGAUGUAGGAGGAAUUGAAGAUGUUCUAAUGAGAGCGUACAUCUUGCUUUUGAUUUAAUGUCUCUAGGAAAGAAGGACAACAUUAUAGGAUAAUAAUAUUCUGAUGGUGCAGAUUGUUUUGGAAAGAAUAGCAAAAAAUACUCAUGGCUAUGUUGGUGCUGACCUUGCUGCUCUGCACUGAAGCUGCACUCCAGUGCCUAAGAGAGAUUAUUAUUAUUAUUUUGAUAGGUAAAAAGGAUAUUAUUGAUUUGGAAGACGAUUCUAUUCACGGUGAGAUACUAACUCCAUGAUUGUUACCAAUAAGCACUUCUAGACUACUCUAGGAAAAAGCAACCUAUCCGCUUUAUGGGAGACCGUAAGUGGAUUUUGACUGCUAUAUAUUUUGCUUGAUAUUUGUUUAUAUAUGUUUGUUGUCAUUUUUUUUUUUAAUGACGAGGGAACCCGCAGCCGUUACCCUUCGAGUGCGCACUAGAUAAACCCUCGAGCUGACGCAAUAGCCUGCAAAUCAUGCCAAUCAGGUAAACCGCACAGGCAAGCCUGGUGCGACAACAUGUUUGUUGUCAAUUUUGAUAUGAGAUUAUUACGUGAAAUAGCAGGUUGCCCGAUAUUUGCCUACUUAUGUUUGUUGUCAAUUUAAUAUUCCAAAUGUAUGAAUCACUUCAUUGCUUAGUUAAGUGAUUCAUUAAUAAAAUAACAUUUAACUAAUUUGAUCUUAUAAAGUAGAAAUCAUCCUUUAAAUUGAGUUUCUCACAAUUAUAUCCCGUAUAAUAAAAGUAUAUAAACAUUGACAAUUGUCUGCUUAUUUUGUGACAAAGAACUAUAUUACUAUGAUGUUUACACCUGUACAUUUAAUAAAAUUGGAUACAAAAUAUUAUAAACUUUAACAGUAUAUAACUAACUUCAAUAAAUAGAUAGUCGUAACGAAAAGUUAAAUACAAUGAAUACCAAAUGUUUGUAUCAAGAAUCAAGUAUAAAAAGAAAAGAGAUAAAAAGUAAGUCAAUUUCAACCAAUUUAUGAUUAUAUUUCAUGUUUAUAAAUGAAUUUCUCUCAAAUUUAAUACACUUAAUUUUAAAAUUAAUCAAACAACGUGCAACGUAUGUUCACCUCACUAGUUUUAAAGAAAAAGAUGUAUCACUAGUUUUAUAGAAAAAGAUGUACUAAUGUAUAUAAAAAUGAAAAAGUUUGUGUACAGAACCACACUUUUACCACCCUCUCACAGAACAUGGGGCCACUAUUAUUUUAAUCGCAGACCCCACCCCUAAUGUGAGAGGGUUGUUAUAGUUGCCAUCAAAGUAAUUGUACCUAGUAUGUCUCUAUUUAUAGAGCUUGCCUCCCGUUACUUCUCUCUCCACAGUCGCGAAAUUGCAUACUUUUUCACAUUUUCUCUCUCUGCAUUUGCUGGGACCUUUGGGAAACUGCGAACACCACUUUGUGGUAUCUAUAAUCAAACCUUCAAGAGGCAGCAAUCCAUUUCAAAACCCAAUUUUAAAUUUUCAUUCUCCAAUAUUUUUCAUUUUGUCUUCUGAUAUUUUUGCCAUAGGCGUUGUUUGUCUGUUGAACCCUCACAUAUAUUCUAUUAAGUCAUGUUAGCCUAAGGGUAUUUAAGUCUUUGUACAGCAUUUUUUUAUUAUAGAUCGGUUUGCUGCUAGUUGCAUCUUUGUAUAUAUAUAUACACUUGUACAGUUCAAAGUCAUGCAAUGUGAAUUGAGAUUUCUUUCCCGCCAUAUUCUCUUACCCUUUCAAUUCUAGAAUACUCUACAGCUAACUUCUCAUGGUAUCAGAGCAUUGAUGCUUCUCUGCAAUGGCAAGUGAAUCAAGUGCUCAAUCAAAGAUCAAAAAUCAGUCCAAUUAAACGAAUUCAUCGAUCAGAUUGUCUGCUGAUGAAGUGGUAACUGGAGAUAUGGCUGCUCUCGUUGAUUGAUUGAUAAGUGAUUCAAGCAGUCCGUAUUAUUUGCAUCAUGGCGAUAAUACAGAAAUGCAACUCACCAAUGUCAUGCUCACCGAGGAAAAUUACGCAACGUGGAGCCCUGCUGUUAUUAUGGCGCUCAGCGUCAA